AUUGAACGCUGGCGGCAUGCCUUACACAUGCAAGUCGAACGGUAACAGGUCUUCGGAUGCUGACGAGUGGCGAACGGGUGAGUAAUACAUCGGAACGUGCCCGAUCGUGGGGGAUAACGAAGCGAAAGCUUUGCUAAUACCGCAUAAGAUCUAAGGAAGAACGCAGGGGACCGAAAGGACGUGCGCGAACCGAACGGCCGAUGGCAGAUUAGGUAGUUGGUGGGAUAAAAGCUUACCAAGCCGACGAUCUGUAGCUGGUCUGAGAGGACGACCAGCCACACUGGGACUGAGACACGGCCCAGACUCCUACGGGAGGCAGCAGUGGGGAAUUUUGGACAAUGGGCGCAAGCCUGAUCCAGCAAUGCCGCGUGCAGGAUGAAGGCCUUCGGGUUGUAAACUGCUUUUGUACGGAACGAAAAGACUCUGGUUAAUACCUGGGGUUCAUGACGGUACCGUAAGAAUAAGCACCGGCUAACUACGUGCCAGCCGCCGCCGUAA
rnacentral:rRNA from 1 species